rnacentral:sRNA from 1 species
GUUGGGUGCAGUGGUGCAUGCCUGUAAUCCUAGUGGCUCAGGAGGCUGAGGCAGGAGGAUUGUGAGUUCAAAACCAGUCUCAGCAAUGGUGAGGUGCUAAGCAACUCAGUGAGACCCUGUCUCUAAAUAAAAUAAAAAAUAGGGCUGGAGAUGUUGCUCAGUGGUCCAGCACUCCUAAGUUCACUCCUUGGUACUAAAAAAAAAAAAAAAAGGUCUUGCUUAGUUGCUGAGUCUGGCUUUGAACUUGCAAUCCUUCUGCUUCAGU